GAUGAACGCUGGCGGCGUGCUUAACACAUGCAAGUCGAACGAUGAAGCCCAGCUUGCUGGGUGGUUUAGUGGCGAACGGGUGAGUAACACGUGAGUAACCUGCCCUUAACUCUGGGAUAAGCCUGGGAAACUGGGUCUAAUACCGGAUAGGAGCGUCCACCGCAUGGUGGGUGUUGGAAAGAUUUAUCGGUUUUGGAUGGACUCGCGACCUAUCCGCUUGUUGGUGGGGUAAUGGCUCACCAAGGCGACGACGGGUAGCCGGCCUGGGAGGGUGACCGGCCACACUGGGACUGAGAGACGGCCCAGACUCCUACGGGAGGCAGCAGUGGGGAAUAUUGCACAAUGGGCGAAAGCCUGAUGCAGCGACGCCGCGUGAGGGAAGACGGCCUUCGGGGUGUAAACCUCUUUCAGUAGGGAAGAAGCGAAAGUGACGGUACCUGCAGAAGAAGCACCGGCUAACUACGUG
rnacentral:rRNA from 1 species